AAGCCUGGGCAAUGGCAUGUGCCCCUCCCCCAGCCUCGCUGCCGCCUUGCAGUUUGAUCUCAGACUGCUGUGCUAGCAAUCAGCGAGACUCCGUGGGCGUAGGACCCUCCGAGCCAGGUGCGCGAUAUAAUCUCGUGGUGCGCCGUUUUUUAAGCCCGUCGGAAAAGCGCAGUAUUCGGGUGGGAGUGACCCGAUUUUCCAGGUGCCGUCCGUCACCCCUUUCUUUGACUGGGAAAGGGAACUCCCUGACCCCUUGGGCUUCCCAAGUGAGGCAAUGCUUCGCCCUGCUUCGGCUCGCACAAGGUGCGCGCACCCACUGACCUGCGCCCACUGUCUGGCACUCCCUAGUGAGAUGAACCCGGUACUUCAGAUGGAAAUGCAGAAAUCACCUGUCGUCUGCGUCGCUCACGCUGGGAGCUGUAGACCGGAGCUGUUCCUAUUCGGCCAUCUUGGCUCCUCGAUCCUGAAUUUUUGGGGCAAAGUCAAUCAGAGUGGUCCUGCCGAAGAGGAUUGUAUUUUUGUAUCUUCAGGAGUUUAUUGGCAUCAAAAUGAGGUAGCUUUUUUUUUUAGAAUUAUGUAUGUAACAUCAGUUCAAUAAUGAUAGAUUGAUUAGGUUUCAUCUCUGAAGGGAGCUGAUAGCCUAACACGAGGGCAGGAAUCAUUACCUUUAGCUUGUCAUUAAUCCUUAUGAAAUAUCUUUUCCUAUAGUAGUAAUUGCUCUUAUAAAUUGAAAGUGGAAAUAUAUUUAUGCAAGGCUGAAGAUUUCUGUUUUCUGCUAUUUCAGGUAUAUGUGCAAGGUAUUUCUAGAGACUUAAUGUUCUGUACUUAGGCUUAUCAGAUUGCUUAAUACAGGUUUCCACACUCAGUCUGUGUAGUGGAUAAGAUUUCCUCCUUCAUCACUUCUAACCCUGUGAUCAAAGCAACAAUCAAAACCCACUUCGUGUAAAUGUUAUUCUGAAGAACAUUUGUACCUUUUGCAACAGCCAUUCUGCCUUAUUACAACAUAACUUAGUUGAAAUUUCUGGUUAUUUGUUUAUAUAUUGUGAGGUUUCCUUAUAAGAGGAUUUUUAUUCUUACGGACAAAAAGACAUGUAACGAGAGGAAAAAAUAUAUUCUAAAUUAGGCAUCUACUUGAUAGUUUGAGGGGUAUUUCAUUUAUUGAUUUUAACACCAUCAUUUUUAUUUGAUAUAAAGGUGAGUGGUGAUUAAUCUAUAUGAGCAAAUGUAAUGAAAUUAAUAGAUUUUUGUUUAAGAGACUAUCCAUAAUUGCUGGCUUAAAUGAUUAGGGUUUCUACAGAUGUGUUAUGAGAGUUUCUUUCAUGUGUAAUGGCAAAUAACUGAAGGCUACAUAUUUAAACUAUUAUUUGUGACCAACUAGACUCUCCUAUCUAACCCUACCUGUGGUCAGUAACACACAUUGGUGACACAGCUGGCCACCUAAUAGGCUGUGCAAGAUAAAACUUGAUGGGUGGAGGAAUGAUUAGAUACUUAAUUUGGUCACCUUUGCAAUAAGUUCUAAGCAACUGAACAAACAUUCUUAGAUUAUAGAACUUGAGUUAUAUCAAUUUCUGUGGGCAGGGACAACACUUUCUUUGGAAAUCUUUCUUUGUAAGUGGCCUCCAUGUAACAGGAAAGCGCAUUCCCUACAGGUGCCUUUCUUUUCCUUUAUACUCAAGUAGAAGCGGGAAUAGAGUUGAUGGGCCUGUCACAAAGACUAAUAUUAAUGUCACAUAGGAUAGGAAAGUAAACCAAGUAAAUCCAUCUGUGUCUCACAUUUGGUAUACUACUACACUUGGAAGAAAUAUGGAGGUUUCUAGAUGUCCUGCUUUGAGAACUAUUAACAUAAGUUUGAAUUUAAAUUGUAUGGGUAUGCUGUUCCCCACUGUCAUUAAGCCAACUUACUUGACUUAUGAGUAAGUUAAACUAUUGCUCCUUUCCAUCAAGCCAGCCAUGCUAACAUGUGACUCAGUCAGCCAUUAUUAAUUUUUUACCAAAAAAUUACCUAUGUACAAAUCAUUUUCUUUUAUGUUUUGCUUUCAAUUGAUUUCCAAUUGGUUUACUGAAUGUGCUGAGUGAUUUUUAGAUUAUAAUGUGAGGGCGAUUACUUCAGAUUCUUAUAAUCUCAAAAGAACUUCUGAAAAAGUCAUAUGCAUUUUUAGAAAAUAUCAGUGAUGAUGAUAAGAAGAGCACUUGAAACAGUAUUAGGUAUGAAGUCAGACAACUUGUGUUUGAAUUGUGACUCUCCCAGAGUUUAGCUACUUGUUUUCAUACAAAUUACUUAAUCAUUCUAGGAUUUAGCUCUCAGAAAUAAUAGAAACAGCCUUAGAGGAGAACCAUGAGCAUGAAGUUUAUGUGAAAAUCCUUAUUAAAGUGUCUUGCCCCUGGUAGAUGGGCAAUAAAAACAUAUUUUUGAGUUAAUUGUUAAAUUAAUAACUGAAUUAAAGAAAAUAGGCAUCCCAGCACUUUGGGAGGCCGAGGCGGGUGGAUCACGAGGUCAGGAGAUCGAGACCAUCCCGGCU
rnacentral:lncRNA from 1 species